rnacentral:rRNA from 1 species
GAUGAACGCUGGCGGCGUGCCUAAUACAUGCAAGUCGAGCGAACGGACGAGAAGCUUGCUUCUCUGAUGUUAGCGGCGGACGGGUGAGUAACACGUGGAUAACCUACCUAUAAGACUGGGAUAACUUCGGGAAACCGGAGCUAAUACCGGAUAAUAUUUUGAACCGCAUGGUUCAAAAGUGAAAGACGGUCUUGCUGUCACUUAUAGAUGGAUCCGCGCUGCAUUAGCUAGUUGGUAAGGUAACGGCUUACCAAGGCAACGAUGCAUAGCCGACCUGAGAGGGUGAUCGGCCACACUGGAACUGAGACACGGUCCAGACUCCUACGGGAGGCAGCAGUAGGGAAUCUUCCGCGAUGGGGGAAAGCCUGACGGAGCAACGCCGCGUGAGUGAUGAAGGUCUUCGGAUCGUAAAACUCUGUUAUUAGGGAAGAACAUAUGUGUAAGUAACUGUGCACAUCUUGACGGUACCUAAUCAGAAAGCCACGGCUAACUACGUG